GCGGGAGUUUAUGCCCAAAGGCUCACCAAAACCCUCAGAGCAAUUAUACCAACAAAGUCUACUAACAAAGUCCUUCCAUCACAGAACAUCCUGUUAUGGCGCCAUUGAUGUUUCCUUUCAGAAACUUCUCAUUGUUCUCCCUUUCUCUCGAGUGAAUUCAGAUCAACGAUCGUGCGCUGUUGAUCACUUUUUUCGACUCAUGUUGUUGAUGACGAGCCGAUUCUUGUAAGCAUUACUCUUCUCAUUUUCGGAUUGAUUCUUACUCACAUUUCGCAUUUCGGAGUUAUGGAUUUCGAUGAAUAAUUCUCGUGAGGUUCGCGAUUUUAUACAUUCCGCAUCGUACGAUCCGAAUCAUGGAUACUUCGUUCAGCGGUAACGGUUGGUUGGAGUUAUGGAACAGAGCAUCACGUUCAAUCAGCUUGAAGCCUUGGUAUGCCCAUGGGAUUGCUGAAGCAAUCAUGCGUACUGCCAAUCUUUCUAUUCCACUGAAAGAGACGUGGAGGAGCAGCCAUGUUGGGUAAUUAUGCUUGAGGUUUUGGACAAUCUUCCAUUAUCUGAUGUACUCAGAAAAUCAAGUUUCCUCAUGGAUGGAAGUAUGGGUAGAAAAGCAACUUGAUAGGUAUGCAUGCCUCCUCGCAUUUAGUUCAAAUAGGCAGAAAACAGUAUCAGAAUGGUUAGGACCGAAUGGGGACAAUCAUCGAGUGGGCUGCAAACGCUGAAGAGCUUGGAAGUUUUCUUUCG